UUGCUGGAACGCGCCCCAGGCGCACCCAGAAACCCUUUGUGAACUUAUACCUUACUGUUGCCUCGGCGCAUGCUGGCCCCCUCGGGGUCCCUUGGAGACGAGGAGCAGGCACGCCGGCGGCCAAGUUAACUCUUGUUUUUACACUGAAACUCUGAGAAAAAACACAAAUGAAUCAAAACUUUCAACAACGGAUCUCUUGGUUCUGGCAUCGAUGAAGAACGCAGCGAAAUGCGAUAAGUAAUGUGAAUUGCAGAAUUCAGUGAAUCAUCGAAUCUUUGAACGCACAUUGCGCCCUCUGGUAUUCCGGAGGGCAUGCCUGUUCGAGCGUCAUUUCAACCCUCAAGCAUUGCUUGGUGUUGGGGCACUGCCUGUAAAAGGGCAGGCCCUGAAAUCUAGUGGCGAGCUCGCCAGGACCCCGAGCGCAGUAGUUAAACCCUCGCUCUGGAAGGCCCUGGCGGUGCCCUGCCGUUAAACCCCCAACUUUUGAAAAUUUGACCUCGG
rnacentral:rRNA from 1 species